AACGCGAAGAACCUUACCAGCCCUUGACAUGUCCUCUAUGGAUUCCAGAGACGGAAUCCUUCACUUCGGGUGGGAGGAACACAGGUGCUGCAUGGCUGUCGUCAGCUCGUGUCGUGAGAUGUUGGGUUAAGUCCCGCAACGAGCGCAACCCUCGGCCUUAGUUGCCAUCAUUUAGUUGGGCACUCUAAGGUGACUGCCGGUGAUAAGCCGGAGGAAGGUGGGGAUGACGUCAAGUCCUCAUGGCCCUUACGGGCUGGGCUACACACGUGCUACAAUGGCGGUGACAGAGGGACGCAAAGGCGCGAGCCUUCGCAAAUCUCAAAAAGCCGUCUCAGUUCGGAUUGGGGUCUGCAACUCGACCCCAUGAAGUUGGAAUCGCUAGUAAUCGCAGAUCAGCACGCUGCGGUGAAUACGUUCNCCGGGUCUGUACACACCG
rnacentral:rRNA from 1 species